rnacentral:rRNA from 1 species
UGGGGAAUAUUGCACAAUGGGGGAAACCCUGAUGCAGCGACGCCGCGUGAACGAAGAAGGUAUUCGUAUCGUAAAGUUCUGUCCUAUGGGAAGAUAAUGACAGUACCAUAGAAGAAAGCUCCGGCUAAAUACGUGCCAGCAGCCGCGGUAAUACGUAUGGAGCGAGCGUUGUCCGGAAUUAUUGGGCGUAAAGGGUACGCAGGCGGUUUAAUAAGUCGAAUGUUAAAGAUCGGGGCUCAACCCCGCAAAGCAUUGGAAACUGAUAAACUUGAGUAGUGGAGAUGACAGUGGAAUUCCUAGUGUAGUGGUGAAAUACGUAGAUAUUAGGAGGAAUACCAGUAGCGAAGGCGACUUUCUGGACACAAACUGACGCUGAGGUACGAAAGCGUGGGGAGCAAACAGG